ACGUGUAAUAGCUAGCGGUGUCUGCAAGGACGCCGCUGGUCUAAUAACUCUGUUAUACCCUUGUGGUGAAUAUAGGAAACUAGUGUGAUUGUGGUGGUUGGGGUGUGUCAAAGCACCCAGGACGCCACGGUCCUCUUCUUAACUAAAAACAUUAUCAUUACAUUAUCAAUCUAAAGUAACCUUGUGGACAAGAUAUUCAUUUAUUGCACUCACCAAGUAAAACAAUAACAAUCUAAUA
rnacentral:misc_RNA from 1 species